rnacentral:rRNA from 1 species
GAGUUUGAUCAUGGCUCAGAACGAACGCUGGCGGCAGGCUUAACACAUGCAAGUCGAACGCCCCGCAAGGGGAGUGGCAGACGGGUGAGUAACACGUGGGAACAUGCCCAAAGGUACGGAACAACUCCGGGAAACUGGAGCUAAUACCGUAUGUGUCCGUAAGGAGAAAGAUUUAUCGCCUUUGGAUUGGCCCGCGUCGGAUUAGCUAGUUGGUGGGGUAAAAGCCUACCAAGGCGACGAUCCGUAGCUGGUUUGAGAGAACGACCAGCCACACUGGGACUGAGACACGGCCCAGACUCCUACGGGAGGCAGCAGUGGGGAAUCUUGGACAAUGGGCGCAAGCCUGAUCCAGCCAUGCCGCGUGGAUGAUGAAGGCCUUAGGGUUGUAAAAUCCUUUUCGUUGGGGACGAUAAUGACGGUACCCAAAGAAGAAGCUCCGGCUAACUUCGUGCCAGCCGCCGCCGUAAU